rnacentral:rRNA from 1 species
CCUACGGGUGGCUGCAGUGGGGAAUAUUGGACAAUGGGGGCAACCCUGAUCCAGCCAUGCCGCGUGUGUGAAGAAGGCCCUCGGGUUGUAAAGCACUUUCAGUGAGGAAGAACGCCUGGUGGUUAAUACCCAUCAGGAAAGACAUCACUCACAGAAGAAGCACCGGCUAACUCCGUGCCAGCAGCCGCGGUAAUACGGAGGGUGCGAGCGUUAAUCGGAAUUACUGGGCGUAAAGCGCGCGUAGGUGGCUUGAUAAGCCGGUUGUGAAAGCCCCGGGCUCAACCUGGGAACGACAUCCGGAACUGUCAAGCUAGAGUGCAGGAGAGGAAGGUAGAAUUCCCGGUGUAGCGGUGAAAUGCGUAGAGAUCGGGAGGAAUACCAGUGGCGAAGGCGGCCUUCUGGACUGACACUGACACUGAGGUGCGAAAGCGUGGGUAGCAAACAGGAUUAGAUACCCUGGUAGUC